ACUAACUCCAUUUGGAGAUUAAGUGCCAUUUUGAUGCCCAAAAUAGAGGCAUUAAGCAGGAAAACAUAAAUACAUUAGUGGCAAAAGAUACAGAAUUUUUUGCAGAUGUAAAGAACUGUUAUUUAUGUGGGCAUGCUAAUGUCUUUGACCACUCUAAUUGAAAACAUAAAUCAUAUUUACAUGAACUUAUAUUGACUCUUCCCCCAGUUCCUGUGUAUAUUUAGUAACUUUUUUGUGAAAAUUUUGCUAAUCAAUGAUCUAUCUUAUUAUUUUUUACAGCUUUUUUUUUUUUUACAGCUUCUUUAUUCCUUGAUAUAACUACCUCUUAAACUAGAGAUACUUCUCUUACUACUUGUUUAUAGAUGCCCUUCUUCAGUUUAUCUUCCAUU
rnacentral:lncRNA from 1 species